rnacentral:rRNA from 1 species
GGACUACUGGGGUAUCUAAUCCCAUUUGCUCCCCUGGCUUUCGUUCCUCAGCGUCAGUUAUGGCCCAGUAAGUCGCCUACGCCACUGGUGUUCUUCCUGAUAUCUACGCAUUUCACCGCUACACCAGAAAUUCCACUUACCUCUACCACACUCGAGUCUGCCAGUAUCCGGUGCAGUCCCGGGGUUGAGCCCCGAUAUUUAACACUAGACUUAACAAACCGCCUACGAACUCUUUACGCCCAAUAAAUCCGGACAAUGCUUGCAUCCUACGUCUUACCGCGGCUGCUGGCAC